GAUGAACGCUGGCGGCGUGCUUAACACAUGCAAGUCGAACGAUGAAGCCCAGCUUGCUGGGUGGAUUAGUGGCGAACGGGUGAGUAACACGUGAGUAACCUGCCCUUAACUCUGGGAUAAGCCUGCGAAACUGGGUCUAAUACCGGAUAGGAGCGCCUACCGCAUGGUGGGUGUUGGAAAGAUUUAUCGGUUUUGGAUGGACUCGCGGCCUAUCAGCUUGUUGGUGAGGUAAUGGCUCACCAAGGCGACGACGGGUAGCCGGCCUGAGAGGGUGACCGGCCACACUGGGACUGAGACACGGCCCAGACUCCUACGGGAGGCAGCAGUGGGGAAUAUUGCACAAUGGGCGAAAGCCUGAUGCAGCGACGCCGCGUGAGGGAUGACGGCCUUCGGGUUGUAAACCUCUUUCAGUAGGGAAGAAGCGAAAGUGACGGUACCUGCAGAAGAAGCACCGGCUAACUACGUG
rnacentral:rRNA from 1 species